CCUACGGGAGGCAGCAGUGGGGAAUAUUGCACAAUGGGGGCAACCCUGAUGCAGCAACGCCGCGUGAAUGAAGACGGUUUUCGGAUUGUAAACUUCUAUCAAUAGGGAGGAAAGAAAUGACGGUACUACCAUAAGAAGCCCCGGCUACCCACGUGCCAACAGCCGCGGUAAUACGUAGGGGGCACCCGUUAUCCGGAAUUACUGGGUGUAAAGGGAGAGUAGGCGGCAAGGUAAGCGAUAUGUGAAAGCCUUAAGCUUAACGUAAGGAUGGCAUAACGAACUAUCUAGCUAGAGUUCAGGAGAGGAAAGCAGAAUUCCUAGUGUAGCGGUGAAAUGCGUAGAUAUUAGGAAGAACACCAGUGGCGAAGGCGGCUUUCUGGACUGAAACUGACGCUGAGGCUCGAAAGCGUGGGGAGCGAACAGGAUUAGAUACCCGGGUAGUC
rnacentral:rRNA from 1 species